rnacentral:snRNA from 1 species
AGCUUUGCUCAGUGGCAAUAUCGUAGCCAAUGAGGUUUACCCGAGGCACAAUUAUUGCUAAUUGGAAGGAAAAAAAGGGGGGGGGGGAAUGUUUUUUUCUCAACACCAAAAAUCUCUCAACAUACCUCAUUAAAUUUUUUAAAAAUCAACUAAGAU